GAUGAACGCUGGCGGCGUGCCUAAUACAUGCAAGUCGAGCGAACAGACGAGGAGCUUGCUCCUUUGACGUUAGCGGCGGACGGGUGAGUAACACGUGGAUAACCUACCUAUAAGACUGGGAUAACUUCGGGAAACCGGAGCUAAUACCGGAUAAUAUAUUGAACCGCAUGGUUCAAUAGUGAAAGACGGUCUUGCUGUCACUUAUAGAUGGAUCCGCGCCGCAUUAGCUAGUUGGUAAGGUAACGGCUUACCAAGGCAACGAUGCGUAGCCGACCUGAGAGGGUGAUCGGCCACAUUGGAACUGAGCCACGGUCCAGACUCCUACGGGAGGCAGCAGUAGGGAAUCUUCCGCAAUGGGCGAAAGCCUGACGGAGCAACGCCGCGUGAGUGAAGAAGGUCUUCGGAUCGUAAAACUCUGUUAUUAGGGAAGAACAAAUGUGUAAGUAACUAUGCACGUCUUGACGGUACCUAAUCAGAAAGCCACGGCUAACUACGUG
rnacentral:rRNA from 1 species